rnacentral:ncRNA from 1 species
CAAAGGCCUGGUCCUAACUUUACUGUCCCCUAUAGCUGUACUUACACAUGCAAGUAUCCGCACCCCUGUGAGGAUGCCCUUCACCCUCUUAUGAGACCAAGGAGCUGGUAUCAGGCGCACUUUGUAGCCCACAACACCUUGCUUAGCCACACCCCCAAGGGAACUCAGCAGUGAUAAACAUUAAGCCAUGAGUGCAAACUCGACUUAGUUAAAGCUAAGAGGGCCGGUAAAACUCGUGCCAGCCACCGCGGUUAUACGAGAGGCCCAAGCUGACAGAAACCGGCGUAAAGAGUGGUUAGGGAUUCCUUAAACUAAAGCCAAACAUUUUCCAAGCUGUUAUACGCAUCCGAAAGUAUGAAAACCUUCUACGAAAGUGGCUCUAAUACUCUGACUCCACGAAAGUUAUGGAACAAACUGGGAUUAGAUACCCCACUAUGCAUAACCGUAAACAUUGAUAGCAAUUCACUCGCAAUCCGCCAGGGAACUACAAGCACUGGCUUGAAACCCAAAGGACUUGGCGGUGCUUUAGACCCACCUAGAGGAGCCUGUUCUAGAACUGAUAACCCCCGUUCAACCUCACCCUGCUUUGUUAUUUUCCGCCUAUAUACCGCCGUCGUCAGCUUACCUUGUGAGAGAUUAUAAGUGAGCAAGAUUGGUAUAACCCAAAACGUCAGGUCGAGGUGUAGUGAAUAGCAGGGGAAGAAAUGGGCUACAUUUAUCUAUAGAUAAACACGGAUCAUUUAUUGAAAAAUAAAGCUGAAGGAGGAUUUAGCAGUAAGAAGAAAAUAGAGAGUUCUUCUGAAAUAGGCUCUGAAGCGCGCACACACCGCCCGUCACUCUCCCCUAACAUCUCAUAAGAUUAAGUAAAACCCCUGAAAAAUUAAGGGGAGGCAAGUCGUAACAUGGUAAGUGUACCGGAAGGUGCACUUGGAAUACC